CCGGCCUUCCGGCCGCAGCCCAGCGCGCCGCUGUGGAGGUUCCUUUCUCCCCGGGAGCGGCGGUGCGCACGCCCCGCCCGCCGCCCCCUAGGCUGGCGCCGCCCGCGCCGCUGGCCCUCCGGCCGGCAGCCCUCACUUCCUUAGCGACCCUUCUUGGAGCUCCGAGCCGCCGUGCGGUCUUGCCCCCGACCUUGUGUGUACCCGGCUGGCAUCCUGAGAGGCGAGGAGCGGCGUCCUGGCGCCUUCGCCUUCGCCUCUGGGGCGUCCCAGCCCCCUCGGCCCCGCCACCUCCGAUCCGCGUGACACGGGUCCCCCCCAUACCUCUUGGGGGGGGUGGAAGACAAAGGAAGGAGUUGGUUCCAGUGGGCGUCUUGCCUUCUACUCAUUUAACGCCCUGCAUUGCCUCGUCGUUCGAACACAUCGUGUACUCGGCCCUAUUGUAAAUAGUUUACUUACCCCCGCUUACCACCAGGAAAAUAAACAAGUUGUUUUCCCUACCCCAUAACAUUCCCCACUUCGUUUUUCCAGCCACGAAUAAAAUGUAUUCCUGAGACAGCAACUUUGGGGAGUUCGUUGGCCUCACCCACCCAGGGGUGACAAAUGGUUACACAAUGACGAUAUUUCACUCAAAAGGGGUGUGUUAAAGUGCGUGGAUCACUUCAAGAAAGCAAACAUUUCACAGUUUCCUCGACUGGUAGACUCUUGGACUGUCCUUUCGGAUGGGUGUCGCUGAAUGGGGAGGGGGGUUGAGAAGUGGCGUCGGCACCAGGUGUCUCACGAUGAGGUUAGUUAGAGGUGGACGCAGGCGUCUUAAUCGGACACCAGGUACCAAAGAUUUCGUCCAAAACAGUGGGAGUUUUACCUGAAUAAAGAUCCCGGAACCAAGCCCAGAUAUUAAAAUGCUUUCCAGCUAAGAACCAGAAUUGCAGUGGAUGUGGCCCUGUCUGCACAUGAGCCCUGAAACCACUGCAGCCAACGCGUGACCAUGACAGGCAAUAGCUCCAGCAUGCUGAAGAUGGCAGAAUGAAAAGACGGUGAGCUCUUAAUCUUUGAGGAGAUUAAAAGGCCUAGGACUGGAGGCCUAAAAGAAUUAACCUUAGGACUGCCCUAUCUGUAGACUUCCGAUUAUACGAGAUAGUAAGUGUCAUUAUUUAAGCCACUUAUAAUUGCAUAUUGUGUUUCUUGCAAUAAAAACUCUUCUGCUACUGACAACCUCUCUGUGGUAGCUAGCCUCCAGAAGGCCCCAACGAUCCUCACCUUCUGGUAGUCACAUCUUUGUAUAAUCCCCUUGUACAUUGGAUCGGGGCUUGCUUUUGUGACUAGUAGAAUAUGGCGGAAAUAUAAAAUGUGAUUUCCAAGUCUAGUUUAUAAAGGCAUUGCCUUGAUCUCUCUUGGAUCACUUGCUUUGGAAUCAGCCACGUACCAUGUCAUGAGGAUGCUCAGACAGGCUUGUGGAGAAACCUUCUUGGAGAAGAAUCAACUGGCCAGUACCAACUUGCCAGCAUGUGAGUAAGUGACCUUAGAAACAGAUCAUCCAACCUGAGGCCAUCAGAUAACUACAGAAAUAGUUAUCAUAUGGCUACAACCUCAUAAAAGACUCCAAGCUAAAACACACAAUUGAAUUGCUCUCGAAUUUCUGAUUCAUACAAACUUUGAGAGUUUCAGCCACUGAGUUUUGGAAUAAUUUUUACACAGCAACUGCUACCUAGUAGAGUAUCCUUCAAUACCAGAAAAACACGCCAAAGUCACCUGGGUGCUCAGACUUACUACUAUUGCUUGGGGCUUAGGAGCUGUCUUAACAAAGAUAAAAUAUAGCCCUUCAUUUGUUGGGCCCCUACUAAGCAUAAUCUCAAGAAUAAAAUAUAAAAUAUGAUAAGAAAAAAAAGAAAGGAAUUUAUUGAGGAACCUGGGAGAGAUUAAUGCUAAGAAAAUAUGGAAGUCAUUGGAAUAAAGGGAGGCAUCUGAGCUGAAGGGAAAUGGGGGGUGGGGGUGGGAGUUCACUAUUCCUCCAUAAUGCCAGUGUCCAUACUUGAAUUUUCAAUAACACUGUCUGGACAAGAAUGUCAAAAUGUGUACAUUGCAAAAAGUCAUAUUAAUUAGGUAAAAUGAAGCCAUUAGAAAGCAAUUCUUGAAAUCAGUUCUCAUGCUUGUGGCUUACAGAAGACUGGCCUCAAGGAAAAAUCUGUCCUUUUCCACCAUCAAGUCAUUGCAACAGACGUUUAUUAUGUGCUAGGCACUGACGGAUAAAGUUAAAUGUGCUAAUUCAAUCAACACUGUUGAACUUCUUCAGUGUAUGAGGCACUGUUCUAGGCACUGAUGAUUCAACGAUGAGCAAACCAAAAGACUUAUCCUUACUUAUCCUUGUCUCCAGAAAGGAGUUUGAGAGGGAAAAUGCAGGAAGGGGGAAGAAAUCAUAGGCAAAUAAACAAAUAAUGAAAUAAUCUGUUCUUAUACCAUGAAAAAAUACAAAAACUAAAAUACGACAAUGAGGAAAUGGAGAUUGCAUGCAAGGGGCAACUUUUGCUAGGAUGGCCAAGGAAGACUUUUUUUUAUAAGUUAGAAUAAUCUCUUUUUAUUUUUAAUUUUUAAAUAAAUGUAUUUAUUUAUUUU